rnacentral:rRNA from 1 species
AGUUGGUAAGGUAACGGCUUACCAAGGCAAUGAUGCAUAGCCGAGUUGAGAGACUGAUCGGCCACAUUGGGACUGAGACACGGCCCAAACUCCUACGGGAGGCAGCAGUAGGGAAUCUUCCACAAUGGACGAAAGUCUGAUGGAGCAACGCCGCGUGAGUGAAGAAGGGUUUCGGCUCGUAAAGCUCUGUUGGUAGUGAAGAAAGAUAGAGGUAGUAACUGGCCUUUAUUUGACGGUAAUUACUUAGAAAGUCACGGCUAACUACGUGCCAGCAGCCGCGGUAAUACGUAGGUGGCAAGCGUUGUCCGGAUUUAUUGGGCGUAAAGCGAGUGCAGGCGGUUCAAUAAGUCUGAUGUGAAAGCCUUCGGCUCAACCGGAGAAUUGCAUCAGAAACUGUUGAACUUGAGUGCAGAAGAGGAGAGUGGAACUCCAUGUGUAGCGGUGGAAUGCGUAGAUAUAUGGAAGAACACCAGUGGCGAAGGCGGCUCUCUGGUCUGCAACUGACGCUGAGGCUCGAAAGCAUGGGUAGCGAACAGGAUUAGAUACCCUGGUAGUCCAUGCCGUAAACGAUGAGUGCUAAGUGUUGGGAGGUUUCCGCCUCUCAGUGCU